AUUAUAAGAGAUGCAUGUGAAUGAGUAACUCACUUUACCUGUCUGGUCGAUUGUGAUUUUUGUCUAAAUUGGUGUAGCUCUUCCCAAUUCAAUUAUUGCAGCAUUCACAAUAUAUUACACACACAUACAGUUUAGAUUCUCCCUUAUUAAUUAGAAGCAGAAGCAGCUUGAAGGAGAAGAAAGAGAAUUCUAACAGCAACAGGCAUCUUCUUUUUCAUUUUAUCAGAACACAACACCCGAUCCGUAAAUAAUAAAAACACCGAAUGGUGGUGAGCCCGUUUAUAUUAUUAAUUAUAUUCUGUGCCCAUUCCAACAAAACAAAAAUUCUGUGAUUUUUAUUUUUGAAAAAAAUUUAUCAUUUA